rnacentral:lncRNA from 1 species
CAGCGCCUUCCCGCAGUCCUGGUGGAUGCCUCCCACGGCCAUCCGCCGCGCCAGUGUGCGCAUGCCGUACGACAUCGGGGACCCCGCCACCCCCGGAUACGCGUCCCGCUACGCCUUCAGUGACCUACACAGGACGCAUAUGAGUGAAACGUUGGUGCCCAAGAUCCAAGUCCACCCCAUCAACUCCAUCGACGCGGCGGAGAUCCUCAAGCGACUGGAUGGACCAGAGUGUCCGGAAAAGUGGG